rnacentral:rRNA from 1 species
UGGGGAAUUUUGGACAAUGGGGGAAACCCUGAUCCAGCCAUCCCGCGUGUGCGAUGAAGGCCUUCGGGUUGUAAAGCACUUUUGGCAGGAAAGAAACGUCAUGGGUUAAUACCCCGUGAAACUGACGGUACCUGCAGAAUAAGCACCGGCUAACUACGUGCCAGCAGCCGCGGUAAUACGUAGGGUGCAAGCGUUAAUCGGAAUUACUGGGCGUAAAGCGUGCGCAGGCGGUUCGGAAAGAAAGAUGUGAAAUCCCAGAGCUCAACUUUGGAACUGCAUUUUUAACUACCGGGAUAGAGUGUGUCAGAGGGAGGUGGAAUUCUGCGUGUAGCAGUGAAAUGCGUAGAUAUGCGGAGGAACACCGAUGGCGAAGGCAGCCUCCUGGGAUAACACUGACGCUCAUGCACGAAAGCGUGGGGAGCAAACAGG